rnacentral:rRNA from 1 species
CAAAUCAGGUAGGAUUACCCGCUGAACUUAAGCAUAUCAAUAAGCGGAGGAAAAGAAACUAACAAGGAUUCCCCUAGUAACUGCGAGUGAAGCGGGAAAAGCUCAAAUUUGUAAUCUGGCGGUCUUGGGCCGUCCGAAUUGUAAACUAGAGAAGCGUUAUCCGCGCUGGACCGUGUACAAGUCCCCUGGAAUGGGGCGUCAUAGAGGGUGAGAAUCCCGUCUUUGACACGGACUACCAGGGCUUUGUGAUGCGCUCUCAAAGAGUCGAGUUGUUUGGGAAUGCAGCUCAAAAUGGGUGGUAAAUUCCAUCUAAAGCUAAAUAUUGGCGAGAGACCGAUAGCGAACAAGUACCGUGAGGGAAAGAUGAAAAGAACUUUGGAAAGAGAGUUAAACAGUACGUGAAAUUGCUGAAAGGGAAACGCUUGAAGUCAGUCGCGUUGGCUAGGGAUCAGCCUUACUCUGGUGGGGUGUAUUUCCUUGUUGACGGGUCAGCAUCAGUUUUGGUUGCUGGAUAAAGGCCAGGGGAAUGUGGCACCUUCGGGUGUGUUAUAGCCCUUGGUCAGAUACAGUGGCUGGGACUGAGGAACUCAGCACGCGCAAGCUGUGCUUAGGAUGCUGGCAAAAUGGCUUUAAUCGACCCGUCUUGAAACACGGACCA